rnacentral:lncRNA from 1 species
CCUUGAGCACAGGCCCAGGGAUUUUGUGGUGAAAACAGCAACCAUAACAGCUGAGGCAGGUGCUAGGAGGCUGUGCCCUCAUCCCCUAGGCCCACCUGAUGCUACCUGCAGUUGCUGUGGAAAGUUCCAGAACACUGAUGACUUCCCAUCCGGGGCACCCGCUCUCUCAGGAGAGUCAACAAUAGGCCGGGGUUGUUUCAUCUUCCUGAAUAAGCAAGCAGGUUAUUCUGAGAGCUGAUUGACAUAUGCAUGGGCAGAUGUUUUAUAAACUGCAUUCUCUACAAACUGAAGGGGCAAAUGUGAUGGAUUCCAAGGCUCCACAAGACAUUAUCAUGGUCAAUGUCCAGCAGACCAGAUAUGGGGUGAUCAAUUGUUUGAAGGUAAAAGUUGUCAAGAAUAACUUUAGACUUUGCUGGGAAUGCAAUAUCUUCUGACAAGGAGGAGUUGGCUGGAACAGCCUGGGCUCUGUACCUGUCCCUCAGAUGUCCUUUGGUGCUUUAGCCCAGUGACUCAUCGAUCUCCCAGGUGAAACAGGCGACUUCCUUCACUGCCUUUCUCUGGGAGCACGAUGAGCACUAAUUACCCGCUCACUGCCAAGCUGGCACCCGGCAUGAGCUGUCAGGAGCCUGCAGUCCCUUCCUGAAGUGUGCAGGUAAGUGAACACAAGCAGGAGAAGAACCAGUGAGCAUGGCGGGGCCACGGAUGGCGUCUGCUGGACUAGCCUCCUGCUUCUUCCUCUGCUGCUCCAAGUCCCCUGCAGGACUAGCUGGGUCCCCCCAUCUCCCCGCCCAACUGCUGUCCAGGGACCCCAUGCCCCUUUGCUCACCAAGGAGGCUCGUGUCUUCUACCGAGGACAGCUGCCUUCAACCUUGGCUGCUCAUUAAAAC